rnacentral:rRNA from 1 species
ACCUCGGAUCAGGUAGGGAUACCCGCUGAACUUAAGCAUAUCAAUAAGCGGAGGAAAAGAAACCAACAGGGAUUGCCUUAGU